UACGGAGGAUGCGAGCGUUAUCCGGAUUUAUUGGGUUUAAAGGGUGCGUAGGCGGACUGUCAAGUCAGCGGUAAAAUUGAGAGGCUCAACCUCUUCCCGCCGUUGAAACUGGUGGUCUUGAGUGGAUGAGAAGUACGCGGAAUGCGUGGUGUAGCGGUGAAAUGCAUAGAUGUCACGCAGAACUCCGAUUGCGAAGGCAGCGUACCGGCAUCCAACUGACGCUGAGGCACGAAAGCGUGGGGAUCAAACAGG
rnacentral:rRNA from 1 species